CGUAGGGGGCGAGCGUUGUCCGGAAUUAUUGGGCGUAAAGAGCGUGUAGGCGGUUCGGUAAGUCUGCUGUGAAAUCCUGGGGCUCAACCCCGGGCGUGCAGCGGAUACUGCCGGGCUAGAGGGUGGUAGAGGCGAGUAGAAUUCCCGGUGUAGCGGUGAAAUGCGCAGAUAUCGGGAGGAACACCAGUAGCGAAGGCGGCUCGCUGGGCCACACCUGACGCUGAGACGCGAAAGCGUGGGGAGCGAACAGGAUUAGAUACCCUGGUAGUCCACGCCGUAAACGAUGGACACUAGGUGUGGGCGGAGUCGAAUCUGUCCGUGCCGAAGCCAACGCGAUAAGUGUCCCGCCUGGGGAGUACGGCCGCAGGGCUA
rnacentral:rRNA from 1 species